UGGGGAAUAUUGCACAAUGGGCGCAAGCCUGAUGCAGCCAUGCCGCGUGUAUGAAGAAAGCCUUCGGGUUGUAAAGUACUUUCAGCGGGAGGAAGGGAGUAAGGUUAAUAACCUUAUUCAUUGACGUUACCCGCAGAAGAAGACAACCGGCUAACCGUCCGUAGCCAGCAGCCGCGGUAAUACGGAGGGUGCAAGCGUUAAUCGGAAUUACUGGGCGUAAAGCGCACGCAGGCGGUCUGUCAAGUCGGAUGUGAAAUCCCCGGGCUCAACCUGGGAACUGCAUUCGAAACUGGCAGGCUGGAGUCUUGUAGAGGG
rnacentral:rRNA from 1 species